GGGGGGGGGGGGGGGGGGGGGGGGGGGGGGGGGGGGGGGGGGUGGGGGGGUGGGGGGGGGGGGGGCUGGGGUGGCGGGCGGGGGAGUAACCCGUGCGGAGCCUGCCCGUGACUGGGGGGUCACUGCGGGAAACUAGGGCUAAUACCGGAUCGGAGCGCCGGCUGCUUGGUGGUGGGUGCAGCGUUUCGGCGGGUGGGGAGUGGCUCGCGGCUUAUCAGCUUGUUGGUGGGGUAGUGGCGUACCAAGGCUUUGACGGGUAGCCGGCCUGCGAGGGUGACCGGCCACAUUGGGACUGAGAUACGGCCCAGACUCCUACGGGAGGCAGCAGUGGGGAAUAUUGCACAAUGGGCGGAAGCCUGAUGCAGCAACGCCGCGUGCGGGAUGACGGCCUUCGGGUUGUAAACCGCUUUCGCCUGUGACGAAGCGUGAGUGACGGUAAUGGGUAAAGAAGCACCGGCUAACUACGUG
rnacentral:rRNA from 1 species